rnacentral:rRNA from 1 species
UAUGGGCGUGCUUACACAUGCAGUCGAACGGUGAACACGGAGCUUGCUCUGUGGGUCAGUGGCGAACGGGUGAGUAACACGUGAGCAACCUGCCCCUGACUCUGGGAUAAGCGCUGGAAACGGCGUCUAAUACUGGAUACGAACCGCGAAGGCAUCUUCAGUGGUUGGAAAGAAUUUCGGUUGGGGAUGGGCUCGCGGCCUAUCAGCUUGUUGGUGAGGUAAUGGCUCACCAAGGCGUCGACGGGUAGCCGGCCUGAGAGGGUGACCGGCCACACUGGGACUGAGACACGGCCCAGACUCCUACGGGAGGCAGCAGUGGGGAAUAUUGCACAAUGGGCGAAAGCCUGAUGCAGCAACGCCGCGUGAGGGAUGACGGCCUUCGGGUUGUAAACCUCUUUUAGCAGGGAAGAAGCGAAAGUGACGGUACCUGCAGAAAAAGCGCCGGCUAACUACGUGCCAGCAGCCGCGGUAAUACGUAGGGCGCAAGCGUUAUCCGGAAUUAUUGGGCGUAAAGAGCU